UACGUAGGGGGCAAGCGUUGUCCGGAAUCACUGGGCGUAAAGCGCGCGCAGGCGGCUGUCUACGUCCGGGGUGAAAGCCCAGAGCUCAACUCUGGGAUUGCCUUGGAUACGGGAUGGCUUGAGGAUCGGAGAGGCAAGGGGAAUUCCUGGUGUAGCGGUGAAAUGCGCAGAUAUCAGGAGGAACACCAAUUGCGAAGGCAGCUCGCUGGAACGUAACUGACGCUGAGACGCGAAAGCGUGGGGAGCAAACAGG
rnacentral:rRNA from 1 species